rnacentral:rRNA from 1 species
UACGUAGGGGGCAAGCGUUGUCCGGAUUUAUUGGGCGUAAAGAGCGUGUAGGCGGCCAGAUAGGUCUGUUGUGAAAACUCGAGGCUCAACCUCGAGACGCCGAUGGAAACCAUUUGGCUAGAGACCGGAAGAGGAGAGUGGAAUUCCUGGUGUAGCGGUGAAAUGCGCAGAUAUCAGGAAGAACACCCGUGGCUAAGGCGGCUCUCUAGUACGGUACUGACGCUGAGACGCGAAAGCGUGGGGAGCGAACAGG